UUAACCCCUGAGCCACAUCCAGCUGAUUUGUGUAUUUUAUUUAGAGACCGGGUCUCACUGAGUUGCUUAGAGCCUUUGAACUCGACAUCCUUCUGCCUCAGCCUCCUGAGCGGCUGGGAUCAGGGGUGUGCCACCGUGCCCCACUUGUUUUAAGGCUUUUUAACUAGGUUGUUUGAAAAUAUUUAUACAUUGAUUAUUGGUUAGAUUAUUAGACCUGGGUCUGCUAUCACCUAACUUAACAUGGAUCGAAGGUCAUUAUGGUCACAAACUCCAAUUUUAUAUCGGUCCACUAUCUGCAAGGUCGAUUUAUUGGUCAAGAGGAGGGAUCUCAAUGCACAAAACAAGUGAUUCAGCACAACUCAUUUUCCCUGACUAUAACAACUAUAGUCACCAGCAAUGUCACCUUGGGCACUUACAUUACUGAACAGGGAUUUUUACAUAGUCUUCAAUUUGAGAACUAGCACCAACAUUUUCUUUAGUGAACCUUUCUUUGGUCUCAUUCUAGUUCUGUUUCAAACUGAAAUGAAUUUUGAGUAAGUAUGAAUUGAAAAUUGUAGGGAGGGUGGGAUUCUUUUUGGCUUUGGCACCUGGGUACUAAGGGGCUAUAGGAACAAGCUUUCAUUCAUCAACGGAACACAUUAGGUUUCUGUUUUACAGUUCAGGGUGGGCCAGAGGCACCAUGGUAGGUCUGUGAUGGAUGAAUUAACAUCUUGUUAGAAAGGUGUUGAGCCCCUCCUAAGUCACCUUGAAUGCCCUGUUUUUGCAGCAGAAAUGACCCAUAUUUUAAAAGUACAAGUAUAAUAUACAUUAAGAAAAAUAUAUAAAUCUUAAAUGUGCUGCUCAGUGAAUUUUC
rnacentral:lncRNA from 1 species